CAGGCAAGGAGGAGAGGCGGCACUUUAACUCCUUCCAGGCGAGGGCUGUUCAUUUACCCGGCACGUUUUCUCUGGGCAGACUGAAAGCUGGACUAAUCGCAGCUCUCGGUGGAGAAGGUGGUGGUUGCACGUCCUGCGAAGGUCCAUGAGCGGUGAUUGCUGAUGUGUUUGCAUAGGAAACAUGGUCAUUCUACGACAGGGCAUCGCUAGGUGGAUAGUUUAAUUCCAGAUCAAUAACAGGCUUCAACUACAGAAAGAGAUGUUAAAAAAAGGAUGGCAUUCAAUCGUUCUCUGUGUCCACAGGGGCCAGGACACAAAGUAAUGGGCUUAAAUUGCAAUAAAGGAGAUUUCGAUUGGAUACUGUGAAGAACUUUCCAACUCGGAGGAUGGUUAAGCAUUGGGAGAGAUUGCCUCGGGAGAUUGUGGACUCUCCAGCAUUGAUGGUUUUGAAGAGCAGGGGAUGAGCUGGUUUAGACAAGGAUGCUCCUGCCUUGCACGGGGGGGUUGGACUAGAUGACCUCCAGAGGGCCCUUCCAACCCAGGUAUUUCUACACAUCUGUGAUGUGAAGAAACCUCAUCAUGGAUUACUGUUACUGUGUUCAGCAAUUCUAAACAUAUACGGUAGAGGGGGCUGCUAGUAUGCCGCAGAGCAGAUCACAGAGCGGAUUGGCCGUUUUCCAUCUCCUUCCUCUAAUGGGUGAAGUACCAUUUGGGCGAUUUUCCAAGCAAGAUGGGAAGGGGAGCUUUGACAAUGCUCAGGCAACUAACACAACGUUCUUCACGAGGGACUCUCCUCCGUACUUCUUUUUAAAGCUCAUCUGACAACCUUCCUGGGUUUU